AGUCUCUUAGUCUGGAACUAUCAUGGGGCUGGCAAACCCGCGACACUCAAAGAGCUUCGUGACAUGACGAGGCAACAUGCCCCCUCGAUUCUUUGUAUCCUUGAAACAGAGAUUGAGGGAUCCCGUGUCGAAAGUUUAGCGGGUUCUUUAGAUUUCAAUAAAAGCUUUGCAGUAAGUAGUUCAGGCCGAAGUGGAGGCAUUGAUAUUUUUUGGAAUGAUUCAAUAAAAGUUGAAGUGAUUGGCUACUCCGAGUAUCACAUCGAUGUAACAAUUGAUGAUUUGUUUGAAACUAAAAACAGGGUCACUUGUCUACAGAGAAGCUCAAGUGGCAGAAUGCUACAAAACCUUGUACAUGUUGAAAGGAAUAACCAAUGCUAG
rnacentral:rRNA from 1 species